AAGUGCGAUAAGUAAUGUGACUUGCAGAAUACCGUGAAUCAUCGAAUCUUUGAACGCAUAUUGCACUCUCAGGUAUUCCGGAGAGUAUGCCUGUUUGAGGGUCAGCUAAAAAAAAUCAAGCGUUAUUGCUUUUUUGUGAUGACGUUUGGAAUUGAGUCGUCUUAACCUCACGGUCAAGUGACUUAAAAUUUUUUAAUGUGAUUUUCGAAACGUAUUUAAUAUUUUACGUACGUUUGCGAUAUCAAUCUAUUAGAUGUGGUCAUUUUCCAUGAUUCGCGUCUAUAGUUUUUCAUUAAAUGACCUCAAAUCAGGUAAGAGUACCCGCUGAACUUAAGC
rnacentral:misc_RNA from 1 species